rnacentral:rRNA from 1 species
UAUGAGGGGGGCGAGCGUUGUUCGGAAUUAUUGGGCGUAAAGGGCGCGUAGGCGGUCGGAUAAGUCUUGUGUGAAAUCUUCGGGCUCAACUCGAAGUCUGCACAGGAAACUAUCUGGCUUGAGUGUGGGAGAGGUGAGUGGAAUUCCUGGUGUAGCGGUGAAAUGCGUAGAUAUCAGGAGGAACACCUGUGGCGAAAGCGGCUCACUGGACCACAACUGACGCUGAGGCGCGAAAGCUAGGGGAGCAAACAGG